rnacentral:rRNA from 1 species
UAGGGAAUAUUAGUAAUGGGCGAAAGCCUGAACUAGCAACGCCGCGUGUGCGAAGAAGGCCUUCGGGUUGUAAAGCACUUUUUGAGAGGAUGAGGAAGGACGGUACUCUCAGAAUAAGUCUCGGCUAACUACGUGCCAGCAGCCGCGGUAACACGUAGGAGGCGAACGUUAUCCGGAUUUACUGGGCGUAAAGCGCGUGUAGGUGGUUUGGUAAGUAGGGCGUGAAAGCUCCUGGCUCAACUGGGAGAGGCCGUUCUAAACUGCCGAACUAGAGGAUGGUAGAGGGAGGUGGAAUUCCGGGUGUAGCGGUGGAAUGCGCAGAUAUCCGGAGGAACACCAGUGGCGAAAGCGGCCUCCUGGACCAUUCCUGACACUCAGACGCGAAAGCUAGGGUAGCAAA